UGCAGCAUUCAGAGGAAGCCUUAUA
rnacentral:piRNA from 1 species